UCGGACAUGGUGUAAGGGGAACACAGUCUUCUACUUUCGAGCGGUGAAUCCGAAAAAAUUACAGUAAGAGGCAGUCCAGGGUUCGAAUCCCUGUGUCUGAA